GCCGAUGCCCGUGAUUCCAUCAGCGUCACAGGUUUUGGAUGUGAUCGGAGAGAUCAGAGUGUUGCUGCUGACAGAUGAGCAGCUGCAGAACAGCGAAGUUAUCAACUUGUGGUUCUCAGACCGCCUGAGGAGCUUCUUGCCGUACGCAUCGGGAAUGUUUCUGCGCUGUCUGAGCAGCACAAACCUGACCUGUCAGUCAUACCAGGAAAUACUGCAGACGUUUAUCGGCCAGUUUAACCAGAUGACCUCAAACCAGCAGCAGUUGGUCUUGCAGGAUUUCAUACUGCAGUUCCUGACGCAGCCACGCUCAGAUUCCAGCUGUGUGUCUACCUCCAACAGCACUGCAGUGUGGAUACAGCAGAAUUUGGGUCCAUUUUCAGCACUUUUGUCCCUCACUCAGCUGAUCCAUCUCAACCCACAAUUCAACCCUAUUGAAGUCCUGACACUCCUGACUGCACAACAGAGCGCAGAGCUGCUGUCGCUUCCAAAUCUG
ensembl:lncRNA